AGCACAAACGCUUUGCUCACUUGAUAUGUAUGCUGAAGCUACACUGCAGAAAAUGCAGAAUUGAUUUCAUUAAAAAUCAUGGCGAAACUGUUGAUUAGAAAUCUCUUCGAUUGAGCUCCAUAUUGCUGAUGAACUCGAUUCAAAUUCUCAGAAUUGAAAACUACUCCUCUGUAAUCUACUUGAAAGCCAGUCAGCAUACGAAAAUGGAUCACAUUUCUUGAUAAACCCAUUAGUCCAAUUUACUAGUCAAAUUCAUGAUAUGCCCGCCAUUCCCAAGAUCGAAACCCUAGGAUUCUGUACAUUUUCGAUCCCAAACCCUCUCUCCCUUAAUAUCUAAACCCUAACCAGAGAUCUCGUGGGUUGCGCUGGAUUCUGGAAUCUGGAUAGCCUAGUUCAGCACUGGGUCGUCGGCAUUGUUUAAAAGCUUAUCAUGCAGAGUGUGGGGAAAGAUGAGUCAUUUGUUGAGUCUGGAAACAGCUGGACUUGCAAGUGGCAUUCUUUCUUCAUUUUCCAUCCAUUGCUUUUGCUGUCCAAAAGCUGUGUGCCAAAGCUGCAUCGCUACUACAGAGUUUGCACGUGUUAGAAGGAACAGAGGGCUCUGUAAUCACUGCUUAAAACUUGCACUACUUAGGGAAGAGAAUAUGGAUGUCCACUCUGAUGGUGUUUGAUACUAUCUAAGAAGACUUGCAAUUUACAUUCUUGAAAUUCUGUUACUUUUCCUUUGCUUUGCAAAAUGAUUUCUUUCAUUAUUAGUUGGUUUUUUAUUUGGUUUGGGAU